AUUGAACGCUGACGGCAGGCCUAACACAUGCAAGUCGAGCGGAUGAAGGGAGCUUGCUCCUGGAUUCAGCGGCGGACGGGUGAGUAAUGCCUAGGAAUCUGCCUGGUAGUGGGGGAUAACGUCCGGAAACGGGCGCUAAUACCGCAUACGUCCUGAGGGAGAAAGUGGGGGAUCUUCGGACCUCACGCUAUCAGAUGAGCCUAGGUCGGAUUAGCUAGUUGGUGGGGUAAAGGCCUACCAAGGCGACGAUCCGUAACUGGUCUGAGAGGAUGAUCAGUCACACUGGAACUGAGACACGGUCCAGACUCCUACGGGAGGCAGCAGUGGGGAAUAUUGGACAAUGGGCGAAAGCCUGAUCCAGCCAUGCCGCGUGUGUGAAGAAGGUCUUCGGAUUGUAAAGCACUUUAAGUUGGGAGGAAGGGCAGUAAGUUAAUACCUUGUUGUUUUGACGUUACCAACAGAAUAAGCACCGGCUAACUUCGUG
rnacentral:rRNA from 1 species